UACGUAGGGGGCAAGCGUUGUCCGGAAUUAUUGGGCGUAAAGCGCAUGUAGGUGGUUAGAUAAGUCUGAUGUGAAAUCCCCGGACUCAAUUCGGGAAGUGCAUUGGAUACUGUUUGACUAGAGUAUGGGAGAGGGAAGCGGAAUUCCCGGUGUAGUGGUGAAAUGCGUAGAUAUCGGGAGGAACACCAGUGGCGAAGGCGGCUUCCUGGCCUGUUCUUGACGCUGAGGCGGCGAAAAGCUAGGGGAGCCAAACGGG
rnacentral:rRNA from 1 species